UGGGGAAUAUUGCGCAAUGGGCGAAAGCCUGACGCAGCGACGCCGCGUGAAGGGGAUGAAGGUCUUCGGAUCGUAAACCUCUGUCAGCAGGGAAGAACGGUCACUGUGCUAAUCAGCAGUGAAUUGACGGUACCUGCAAAGGAAGCACCGGCUAACUCCGUGCC
rnacentral:rRNA from 1 species